GUAGGUGGCAAGCGUUGUCCGGAAUUAUUGGGCGUAAAGCGCGCGCAGGCGGUUCUUUAAGUCUGAUGUGAAAGCCCACGGCUCAACCGUGGAGGGUCAUUGGAAACUGGAGAACUUGAGUACAGAAGAGGAAAGCGGAAUUCCACGUGUAGCGGUGAAAUGCGUAGAGAUGUGGAGGAACACCAGUGGCGAAGGCGGCUUUCUGGUCUGUAACUGACGCUGAGGCGCGAAAGCGUGGGGAGCAAACAGGGAUUAGAUACCCUGGUAGUCCACGCCGUAAACGAUGAGUGCUAAGUGUUAGGGGGGGUUUCCGCCCCCCUUAGUGCUGCAGCUAACGCAUUAAGCACUCCGCCUGGGGAUACGGCCGCGAGGCUG
rnacentral:rRNA from 1 species